rnacentral:sRNA from 1 species
UGAAAGCGACAAUCAGCAGGAAUUGGGA